AAACCACCGCACCGCGCCGCGCGUGGGAAAAAACAGCAAGGGCGCAACGCACCACGCGAGGGAAAAAAGCAGGGAGAGCAGCGAGGGAAAAAGAAGGGGAAAAGCGAGCGGGCAGCCAGAGACCUAGCCCGCGUCUCCCCGCGCCUCUCCCCGCGACCCUCGUUCCUCCUCCCGCCGCCGCCGCCGCCGCCGCCCACGAUGGACGAAGUGAGAGGAAAGAGCCUCGGGAGACCGCCGCCUCUCCUCACCGGCCUUCUCCCAGGUUCCCGACCUGGAGCCUCUCCUCACCUUCUCCUAGAUAUGGAGCGGGAGGGACGGACGCCGGCGAGGCCAGCCUCCCCUUCACACGGAGGUUGUUGAGAUCAUUGAUCGGUAUGAUCAUGCAUGUGUCCCGCGUAACAUGACUGAUAAUAAGCUUGCGUACAUCCAGAAUGAGGCUAUAUCCAAAGAGUGCACAAGGACUCUCACGGUUACAAAGGAUACGAAGCAGCCAAUUUAUGCCUACUACCAACUUGACAACUUUUAUCAGAAUCAUAGGAGGGUCAGGAUUCUGUACUAGACGUGAUGAGAUAAAAUGAGGUCUGAAUUUUUUAGCCAUGCUUUCUUAGCUCAUGAAGGCAGGAGCAUAUGUGAUUUUUCUGUACCACCUUCCCGCGGCUCUGAGGAUUUUGUCUGCUCGCUGCCUCUCCGCUAUUUAUUUGUUGUGUCUACUGCAUUGUUUGUUCUGCCACCCUUUUCCUCAGUUGCUAGCGGGGGGCCUUGGCUUAUCGUAUUGUUUGUUGCCUUCCUCUCAUAGGUUCGUUGGUAUUGUAAACCAUUUUUGUUGUAGUAAUAACUACAAUGUCAAAUAAAUUUACAUUUCACCUUGCUUCCACUAUUAUUCAAGUUUUUUCCUGCUUAUUAGUCGUACUAGCAAGAUGGUUUUUGUUUUUUUGCCGUGUCUGACAUAGUGUAUUUCUACGAUUUUUCUCUAUUAAAACAUAUCCACUUCCAUGCUCUUUUCUCUAUUUUAGUACACAAUAGUAUGGCUGCAUACUACCAAUUGCAGAAAUUAUUCAUUUGCCACUAAAAUAUAUAUUUUCCUAUUCACAAAUUAAGUAACAACAAAGAUGAAGUUGGUCCCCGGAUGCCUAAUAUGUUCUUUCAUAUCCUGGUCAGUUUACCAGGUAACAGAAUUAAUACUUCUUGUUGGUUCAAUAGUCAAUACCAGUGUUGUGAGAAAAUUCCUUACGGUUGUUGUAUUUUGGUAGCUUCUUCUUUUGCAAGUGGCAAAUUACUGUUAUGUAUAUGUGGAAUCCGAUUAAAUCUGUGCAUUGGUUUCAGUCAUACUUUUCUAAAUGGAGUAUAGUUCAAGACUGUUUUGUUCAUUAAAUCAUUCUUUCUACCUUCCAAUUGUGUCGUUGGCACACCUCAAAUUACUUCUACUUAUACAUGUAUUCAAUGUUUUUCUAUUCUGGGAUUUAUCUAUUUUACGAUCAUUACUAUGUUUUCAUUGACAUGGUAAUAUGAAUAGUCUCCUGUACAUAAGCCCAAGAACAUAACAGACCUAGAACUUUUUUAGGCUUUGUAUUUGUGUUUUAGAAAAAAAAUACAAUCAAGUUUUGGAAUCCAUUUAGUCGUUGAUCAAGUAUGUAUCCUAAGAUCUUUAUCAAUAUUUAGUAGCCUAACAUCUUUCUCAAUGGUGCAUGUGGUUGAGCUAAAAGGGUACUCAAAACGUGUGACUACUUGGCUGUGGUGGAUGUUUUAGCCUUUUCACUAAUUUUCGUGUGCCAAUAAUUUGCCAGAUUAGCUUGUUGGAUUAAUUCAUUUUUUUAUGAGACAUGUACGAAUUUGCAACCUGCAGUAUAAGGAAAACAUAGUAUAUUUUGUCAUCUUUCUCGCAUAGGGAAAUUAUAUUGCUUACUUAUUUUUUGCUUUCUGAAAAUUACGCUUUGGCCUUUGACUGUAUAAAUGACUAUGUCCACUUUUAAUUCGGGUGUCUUGUAGAGGAGAUGGUCAGCAGGGCGAAAAUGUUGUUUACCAUGUGUUUUGAUUGAUUAUAUUCUUCAAGUAUGGAGCGGUUGAAAGCAAAUCACCGUGCCAUAGGAAUGUUGGUCACAGGCUCUCCACUUCGCUUUCCAAGACCAAGGGAACUGCAUCAUUUGCGGUUGUGCCUAAAGAUCCUACCCAAACUGGAAAAACCGCUUUUCCUGGAGAUGUUGUUGACCCUGCAUCCACAACAGAUAGGAGAUGGUCAGCAGGGCGAAAAUGUUGUUUACCAUGUGUUUUGAUUGAUUAUAUUCUUCAAGUAUGGAGCGGUUGAAAGCAAAUCACCGUGCCAUAGGAAUGUUGGUCACAGGCUCUCCACUUCGCUUUCCAAGACCAAGGGAACUGCAUCAUUUGCGGUUGUGCCUAAAGAUCCUACCCAAACUGGAAAAACCGCUUUUCCUGGAGAUGUUGUUGACCCUGCAUCCACAACAGAUAGGAGAUGGUCAGCAGGGCGAAAAUGUUGUUUACCAUGUGUUUUGAUUGAUUAUAUUCUUCAAGUAUGGAGCGGUUGAAAGCAAAUCACCGUGCCAUAGGAAUGUUGGUCACAGGCUCUCCACUUCGCUUUCCAAGACCAAGGGAACUGCAUCAUUUGCGGUUGUGCCUAAAGAUCCUACCCAAACUGGAAAAACCGCUUUUCCUGGAGAUGUUGUUGACCCUGCAUCCACAACAGAUAGGAGAUGGUCAGCAGGGCGAAAAUGUUGUUUACCAUGUGUUUUGAUUGAUUAUAUUCUUCAAGUAUGGAGCGGUUGAAAGCAAAUCACCGUGCCAUAGGAAUGUUGGUCACAGGCUCUCCACUUCGCUUUCCAAGACCAAGGGAACUGCAUCAUUUGCGGUUGUGCCUAAAGAUCCUACCCAAACUGGAAAAACCGCUUUUCCUGGAGAUGUUGUUGACCCUGCAUCCACAACAGAUAGGAGAUGGUCAGCAGGGCGAAAAUGUUGUUUACCAUGUGUUUUGAUUGAUUAUAUUCUUCAAGUAUGGAGCGGUUGAAAGCAAAUCACCGUGCCAUAGGAAUGUUGGUCACAGGCUCUCCACUUCGCUUUCCAAGACCAAGGGAACUGCAUCAUUUGCGGUUGUGCCUAAAGAUCCUACCCAAACUGGAAAAACCGCUUUUCCUGGAGAUGUUGUUGACCCUGCAUCCACAACAGAUGAAACUAAGCAAGAUGCUGCUGCUGCUGCAGCUACCGAAGAUGCGAAGCACACAAAAUUUAGCUUCUUAGACAAAGAAAGUUCAAUCCUACAGUGAUGGAAAAAAUCAGAAUCCCAACAAAAGUGUUGUUCGAUGCUAUGAUGCAGCAGCUAGGCCUCCCAAAUGCAGUGUACUCAACACAAAAGGCAAGAGCAAUUGGUCUUGACGCAACUAUUCACUUCUAUCGCUCCAAGCAUCAACUGGACAAUAGUCUUCCAAGACAAUCAAUAUCAACCCAUGUAUCCAACAAACUAGAAGAUGUUGAAGACCAACUAGCAAACGAAGCUCUCAAGUACAUGAAAAGCAUCCACAGUAAAGUGCUGCAGGACACAAACUACGACAAGAUGCAACUGCUGCAGCAAAGGAGAUCACAUGCCAGCAAAGGAACUUUACCGUAUAAUAGAUAGCAACUUCACGGCCAGAUCAACAUCCAGAGACAAUGAUCUGAAUCAUAUAUUAUCGCAAGUAAGAUAUGUUACUGAUUGUCCCACUGAUACAUCCACGCAAUCAGAGUAUGAACUCCAACAAACAAACAAGUACUACUUGAGCUUGGAUGAUGAUGUUGAAGGAAUUUUUGUUAUGAACAAUGAAAACAUUCAACCACAACCACUAUGAACAAUUGCCUGAACAAGUUUUCAGCUCCAAUGGUCCACCAAGCAUAAUGCAUAUAAGAUGUAUCUCUCUCUAUCUACCUUCCUUCCUAAUAGCAUUGUAAAUAUUCUAUCGUAAGCUUCUUAGAACACUAUGUAUCAUGAAUAAUCCAUGUGUAUCAAUCUGCCCUUAAAUAUAUUUAU